rnacentral:rRNA from 1 species
AUUGAACGCUGGCGGCAGGCCUAACACAUGCAAGUCGAACGGUAACAGGAAGAAGCUUGCUUCUUUGCUGACGAGUGGCGGACGGGUGAGUAAUGUCUGGGAAACUGCCUGAUGGAGGGGGAUAACUACUGGAAACGGUAGCUAAUACCGCAUAACGUCGCAAGACCAAAGAGGGGGACCUUCGGGCCUCUUGCCAUCGGAUGUGCCCAGAUGGGAUUAGCUAGUAGGUGGGGUAACGGCUCACCUAGGCGACGAUCCCUAGCUGGUCUGAGAGGAUGACCAGCCACACUGGAGCUGAGACACGGUCCAGACUCCUACGGGAGGCAGCAGUGGGGAAUAUUGCACAAUGGGCGCAAGCCUGAUGCAGCCAUGCCGCGUGUAUGAAGAAGGCCUUCGGGUUGUAAAGUACUUUCAGCGGGGAGGAAGGGAGUAAAGUUAAUACCUUUACUCAUUGACGUUACCCGCAGAAGAAGCACCGGCUAACUACGUG